ACUUCUAUGAACUUUUAUGAACUGUAACACUCACCGCAAAGGUCUGCAGCUUCACCCCUGAGGCCAGGGAGACCACGAACCCACCGGAAGGAAUGAACAACUCCAGACGCACUGCCUUUAAGAGCUGUAACACUUACCACGGAUGUCUGCAGCUUCACUCCUGAAGUCAGCGAGACCACAAACCCAACAGAAGGAAGAAACUCCCGACACAUCUGAACAUCUGAAGGAACAAACUCUGGACACACCAUCUUUAAGAACUGUAACACUCACCGUGAGGGUCAACCGCUUCAUUCUUGAAGUCAGCCAGACCAAGAACCCACCAAUUCCGGUUUCACUGACUAGAAUUACCAGUACUAUGUCAAAUAAGAGUGACUAGUUUGGACAUAUUUUUUCACAAUCCUGGUAGAAUAAAAGCAUUCAUUUUUUCAUGGUUAAGUAUAUGACUGGUGAAUGCCAGAUGCCUCUAGUGAGCCACCUUGAAUCACUAUUCUGAAUACAUCUUGAGUAAAAAGAGAAAAUUGCUCAUGUUUCCAUGGCUAUCUGAAUCAUGUUAUUGGACCAUGAGAGCAAGCAGCUGGAUCUCAUUCUGUCCAGGACUCCUGGAAACAGCAGCUCUAACAAAAUUGUCUUCAAUAAAUAAGUUUUUUUGCAUCACAUCUAUUGCUAAGGCAGGCUGGCUGCCUUCAUCUUCCCCAGUAUUCUAGGAUAACCUCAAAGAAAUCACAACAGCUUGUUUUCUACAAUUAAAACAUUUGGGUUUUGAUAGUGUGCAUGGUCUACAAAGAAGUGAGAAGUGUAGCUGUUUGUAUGGAAUCUUAUGGUGAACAUUGCUGGCUCCAACAUAUAACUUGAUUGGUGCGACAUCAAGGUAAAUGAAUCCUCAAAGAGCUAGCAAAUGGAUCAAAUAAAAGUAU
rnacentral:lncRNA from 1 species